GACGAACGCUGGCGGCGUGCUUAACACAUGCAAGUCGAACGGAAAGGCCCUGCUUUUGUGGGGUGCUCGAGUGGCGAACGGGUGAGUAACACGUGAGUAACCUGACCUUGACUUUGGGAUAACUUCAGGAAACUGGGGCUAAUACCGGAUAGGAGCUCCUGCUGCAUGGUGGGGGUUGGAAAGUUUCGGCGGUUGGGGAUGGACUCGCGGCUUAUCAGCUUGUUGGUGGGGUAGUGGCUUACCAAGGCUUUGACGGGUAGCCGGCCUGAGAGGGUGACCGGCCACAUUGGGACUGAGAUACGGCCCAGACUCCUACGGGAGGCAGCAGUGGGGAAUAUUGCACAAUGGGCGGAAGCCUGAUGCAGCAACGCCGCGUGCGUGAUGACGGCCUUCGGGUUGUAAACCGCUUUCGCCUGUGACGAAGCGUGAGUGACGGUAAUGGGUAAAGAAGCACCGGCUAACUACGUG
rnacentral:rRNA from 1 species